rnacentral:rRNA from 1 species
GUCCAGACUCCACGGGAGGCAGCAGUGGGGGAUAUUGCACAAUGGGGGGAACCCUGAUGCAGCGACGCCGCGUGGGUGAAGGAGUAUUUCGGUAUGUAAAGCCCUAUCGGCAGGGAAGAAGCAAGACGGUACCUGACUAAGAAGCCCCGGCUAACUACGUGCCAGCAGCCGCGGUAAUACGUAGGGGGCGAGCGUUAUCCGGAUUCACUGGGUGUAAAGGGAGCGUAGACGGCCAUGCAAGCCAGGGGUGAAAGCCCGGGGCCCAACCCCGGGACUGCCCUUGGAACUGUGCGGCUAGAGUGCGGGAGGGGCAGGCGGAAUUCCUGGUGUAGCGGUGAAAUGCGUAGAUAUCAGGAGGAACACCGGCGGCGAAGGCGGCCUGCUGGACCGCGACUGACGUUGAGGCUCGAAAGCGUGGGGAGCGAACGGGAUUAGAUACCCGCGUAU